rnacentral:rRNA from 1 species
AGAGUUUGAUCCUGGCUCAGGAUGAACGUUGGCGGUGUGCCUAAUACAUGCAAGUCGAACGGUGACUAUUUUGUAGCAAUACGAAUGAAAUCAUAGUGGCGAACGGGUGAGUAACGCGUUGGUGAUCUGCCUCGAAGUGUGGAAUAACUUCCCGAAAGGGUAGCUAAUACCGCAUAGUCUCUCAAGGUUUAGAAAAUUGAGAGUAAAGGAUUUAUUCGCUUCGAGAGGAGCCUGCGUCCCAUCAGCUAGUUGGUAGGGUAAUAGCCUACCAAGGCAAUGACGGGUAGGGGACCUGAGAGGGUGGCCCCCCACAAUGGAACUGAAACACGGUCCAUACACCUACGGGUGGCAGCAGUAGGGAAUAUUAGAAAUGGGCGAAAGCCUGAUCUAGUAACACCGCGUGUGCGAUGAAGGCCUUCGGGUUGUAAAGCACUUUUUGGAGGGAAUAGGAAGGAAGGUACCUCCAGAAUAAGUCUCGGCUAACUACGUGCCAGCAGCCGCGGUAACACGUAGGAGGCAAACGUUAUCCGGAUUCACUGGGCGUAAAGCGCGUGUAGGUGGUUCUGUAAGUAGGGCGUGAAAGCUCCCGGCUCAACUGGGAGAGGCCGUACUAAACUGCAGAGCUAGAGGAUGGUAGAGGGAGGUGGAAUUCCAGGUGUAGUGGUGAAAUGCGCAGAUAUCUGGAGGAACACCAGUGGCGAAGGCGGCCUCCUGGACCAUUCCUGACACUCAGACGCGAAAGCUAGGGUAGCACACAAAAGGAGAGACUCCGGUAGUCCUAGCCCUAAACGACCCAUGUAGGGGUCGGCGGUUUAAUCACCGUCGGUGUCCAAGCUAACGCGAUAAGUCUGCCGCCUGAGGACUACGGCCGCAAGGCUAAAACUCAAAGGAAUUGACGGGUCCCCGCACAAGCAGCGGAGCGUGUGGUUUAAUUCGAUGCUCCGCGAAGAACCUUACCUGGGUUUGACAUAACAGUGGUAGAGAAGUGAAAACGGAUCGACCCUUCGGGGAGCUGUUACAGGUGUUGCAUGCCUGUCGUCAGCUCGUGUCGUGAGAUGUUCGGUUAAGUCCGCUAACGAGCGCAACCCGCGCUGUGUGUUACAAGUGUCACACAGUACCGCCGGUAUUAAGUCGGAGGAAGGUGCGGAUGACGUCAAGUCAGCAUGACCUUUAUAUCCAGGGCUACACACACGCUACAAUGGUCAGAACAAUAGGUUGCCAAGCCGCAAGGCGGAGCCAAUCCUCCAAAUCUGGCCUCAGUUCAGAUUGCAGGCUGCAACUCGCCUGCAUGAAGUCGGAGUUGCUAGUAACCGCAGGUCAGCAUACUGCGGUGAAUACGUUCCCGGGGAUUGUACACACCGCCCGUCA